UGCAUUUUUGAUUGCGAAAGAAUGAGGUGCUCAAUUUUAUUUCCUUAACAGUGCCAUGAGUCAUUUAAUUUUACAUAUUGUACACUGUGUGUGUGGCUGUUGGUAUUUAUUUGCCUGUGACUGUAUGUAUGUAAUGGAAUGUAUAACAAAUCUGUAGCUGCCUCAGUGUAAUUAAAUGUGCUUUUUUUUCUUUUGUAGAAAAACUUGACUGCGCUGUUGAAUAAGAGUCUGCAGGAAGAUGUCCACCCAUCUUGGAGUUGGAAACUGAAGAAGUCUCUCAGCAAGGGAAGAGGGGGAAAAAGCCAACGUGUGCUGUAAUGCAGCUGAUGAGGACAGCGAUGAGGACUGUGGAAGGGCUACCAAAAGUCAUUGCACCAGGAGCGCCAGCACCAUUGACUGGGCUUCCAGACCCACUCCAUCACCUAACCAUGGCCCUGUCCCUAGUCUCAGCUCCAGCUUCUGUCCCGCUCCAUCAGCUGGCUCCAGUCCCAGAUCCAGCUGCAAACCAGCUGUUCAAUGCAUCACCUGUCAGUCUCAUUGGGUCAUCCCUGCGAGGUUCUACACCUGGCCAGUCUGUGGAUAUGCAAUUCAUGGAACAGGUGAAAGGUAAUAAUUUUCUUUCUCUGUCUUAAAAAGAAUUUAAGAACCUCUGUUGCUUGUUACGUGUUGAUUAGUUGCAAAAUUCUUAAAUUUCAAGAUUUUUCUUUAAGUUUACUUAGUUUCAUUUAAGGAAAAGCACAUAUGUUAAUAUUCUGUUUCUUUAGAUCUAAGAUUCAAAAAGAGAGACCAGAGGGCCAUUCUUCAAAACUUACAGACAAGUAAGAGUCAAUGAAAGCCUACCAACCUCUAAUAUUGUGCUGCCUUUAGAGACAAUGGAACAGUUGGAUGUGAUGGAAUGGUUAGUGAAGUUUUUUUAUGUGUUCCUUCUUAACUGAUUUGACUUUACUGAACUGAAGCCUCGUAUAUCAAAAGACUUUCCUCUACUUGGUGGCAAUAGAUUUUUUUAAAACGUUAAUAAUGGCACAGCCACAAUGAGUUUUUUGGAAUUCCAUUAAGGUAUUAAAAUAGAAAAUGAAAAUAAA